UACGUAGGGUGCAAGCGUUAAUCGGAAUUACUGGGCGUAAAGGGCUCGUAGGCGGCCAACUAAGUCAGACGUGAAAUCCCUCGGCUUAACCGGGGAACUGCGUCUGAUACUGGAUGGCUUGAAUCCGGGAGAGGGAUGCGGAAUUCCAGGUGUAGCGGUGAAAUGCGUAGAUAUCUGGAGGAACACCGGUGGCGAAGGCGGCAUCCUGGACCGGCAUUGACGCUGAGGAGCGAAAGCCAGGGGAGCAAACGGG
rnacentral:rRNA from 1 species